ACUAAGGUGGCAGAAUGAUAUGCGUUAAAUUUAAGCUUUAAAGAUGAAAGUUUUUCCCCUAGUA
rnacentral:tRNA from 1 species